GAGUGAACGCUGGCGGUAGGCCUAACACAUGCAGUCGAACGGCAGCACAGUAAGAGCUUGCUCUUACGGGUGGCGAGUGGCGGACGGGUGAGGAAUACAUCGGAAUCUACUUUUUCGUGGGGGAUAACGUAGGGAAACUUACGCUAAUACCGCAUACGACCUACGGGUGAAAGCAGGGGAUCUUCGGACCUUGCGCGAUUGAAUGAGCCGAUGUCGGAUUAGCUAGUUGGCGGGGUAAAGGCCCACCAAGGCGACGAUCCGUAGCUGGUCUGAGAGGAUGAUCAGCCACACUGGAACUGAGACACGGUCCAGACUCCUACGGGAGGCAGCAGUGGGGAAUAUUGGACAAUGGGCGCAAGCCUGAUCCAGCCAUACCGCGUGGGUGAAGAAGGCCUUCGGGUUGUAAAGCCCUUUUGUUGGGAAAGAAAAGCAGCAGGUUAAUACCCCGCUGUUCUGACGGUACCCAAAGAAUAAGCACCGGCUAACUUCGUG
rnacentral:rRNA from 1 species